AACUUGCGAUUGUUCAGGGUUAAUGAAAUGGACAUGUGUAUCUAUGCCACCCGCAGUUACAAUUUUACCUUCAGCAGAAAUAAUGUCUGUUGUAGCACCAAUAAUAAUAUCUACGUUAUCCAUAAUAUCUGGAUUGCCUGCUUUACCAAUUUUCAUGAUAUAGCCAUUUUUAACGCCGAUGUCGGCUUUGACAAUCUUAUCGUAAUCAAUAAUCAUCGCAUUUGUGAUGACUAAAUCAGCAACUUGCUUGUCAUCACGUGUGACAUUUGGAUUUUGUGCCAUACCAUCACGGAU
rfam:Staphylococcus saprophyticus subsp. saprophyticus ATCC 15305 DNA, complete genome.